GCUAAAUAUUUCCACAGAACCGAUAGUGCACAAGUACCGUGAGGGAAAGUUGAAAAGUACUCUGAAGAGAGAGUCAAAAGACCGUGAAACCGCUCAGAGUAUAAGCCAAUGGUGUCUGGAAGGCUGUUUGCUGGCGCAUGAUUGAUCAUUGGCAUGCAGUAGUGGGUUCUCCCAAGAAGGUGGCCGUUGCCCGCUUAUAGACGGGAACCGGGCUGGUUUGCGUUCCUGGCGUGCUUUGGUGCGAAGCCUGCGUUGGAGGGGGUAACUCCUCUUUCGUGGGUGGCUGUGCCGGGUGCGUUGAGUGGACGGGAGUACAUUGUCUGCAAACGCCUAAGCAGCAACUCGAAGCCCACCACAGCACGUUGUAAGGUCACCCACAGGCGUUGCUGUUUCUGGUUGCGUCCUCGUACCACAUUCUUUGGAGGCAAAGUCGUGGAGUAACGCGGGGACGGGUAGAAGGGGCGCAAGCCCUAAGCACGUACUGGUAUGAUCCUAUGCGACGAGCUGCUUUCUGGUCUGUGCAGUAAAAGGUUAUACCUGAGUCAGAGCAGCGUUUCCGAUUGCCGGAGCCUGCUUCUUCUUGUUGCAUUGGGAAGUUCUACUUCCCGAGCAAUCGACUCCUGCCAGAGUGGUGAUCAGUCCAGCCCCAUCGGUCACGUCUCGAAACACGGG
rnacentral:rRNA from 1 species